AAACCUUACUAGUGUAAGACAUUAAGAUGAUUGACAGAUUGCUUGGUUUUUCUUGAUAUAAUGGGUGGUGGUGCAUGGCCGAUCUUAGUUGGUGGGGUGACUUGUCUGGUUAAUUUCGAUAACGAACGAGAUCCGAACUGUUUUUUUCCAGUGCGUUCCUUUAGGAAUAGUACUGGCUAUAAAUGGACCGUCAGAUCAAACUGAAGGAAGUGACGGGCUAAAU
rnacentral:rRNA from 1 species